UUCACAGGUGGCAAAGGUUUUGACUUCUAUGUCCCUGGACGCGGAGUUAGAGGAGGGAGCAAAGGGAAUCGGGAGACGGUAGAGAGAAGAGGUAGGAGGGUGUCUUGAGGAGGGUUUCUUUGUCACAAGGUACCUGCAGCCAGGAACUAAGACUACUUCCUCUGGUAGGAUCAGAUACGGGAACGCGGUUUUCCAAGAGAAAGUACGCAACUUAGGUAAGUCCCUUCUUUCUUGCGCUAGGCAACUGGUGUGUGCGUCUUAAAGCGUACAGGCAGAUGUGACAAGCAGCUCAAGAAGCGCGGCAAGACAGUUUGGCCCUUGCUAUUGCUAGAACCUGUACCUGUCUUAGUCCAAUGACUUCUUCCUCAGCUGUUGCUUCCCAUUUUGAAUGGUAGACUUAUGACCACGCCCGCUGUCGACUUAGUUCCUAACUUCCUCGCUAACCGACGGGAAGUGCUCAACUUCCCUCGUUAGUCAGCAGGCACGGCGUACUCAGGAUUAUUCAGAACCUAAACUUCUAACGCUAUUGUCAUGUCGGUGUACGAUAUACCCGUGACCGAACCAAUUAAUUAAUCAAGUGAGAAUAACAGCAGUAGCGGCAUGGCGUCUACCCUAUCGACGGAACGCUCCUCAUAGGAGCCGUGUUUUCCCCCCUGGCCUGACACUUGACGCCAACGAAGGCACAACUUUGGAUCACCCGAACCGUGUCAUUCAAACCAGAUUACUUUCCGGAGCAGUGUUAGAGGGACGGCCAUAUGGUUUACCACAUGAUGCCGUCGCCGGCGACGACCGUUGUUCAGCCCUAACACAACACACCCAUUUCACAUGUUGGAAACAUCUCACAUUUUGAUAAGCUUAUCGGCACAGGUGCCAGUACCUGCUGUGUACUUAGAAAGAACUGCAUGUCCUGGACAGAACUAAUAAGGGAGAAACGGGGAUAAGAACUUUGGAUACUUCUCACACUCAACUAGCUCCUAGGAGUGAAACUACUUUCAAUAAGACCUCAAUUUUGUACAAAUGUAGUUUCUGAUGAAGAUAGGUUGACGAUAAAAAAAGUUUGUUUUAAUCGAAAAUACGUUUACUCGGUAUGUCGGAAGGAAACUUCGGUGUACAUCGAUAAUCCUGGGAGAGGCUCCCUCCGUACAACUCACGCAUUACAUGAGUACUGUUAUUAAAACAACUGUUGCCUCAAAGUACUUCUACUUACACUACGAUGUUGAUGAUACCGC
rnacentral:rRNA from 1 species